UUAUAUUACAUAUAAUUUGAGUUCGUGCCAUCGGCUCCCAUCUGCCUGACCGAUCCACUUUCUCUCUUGAGCGGAAACGAAAACCUCGGAUUUCUCUUCGCACGCAGCCCUUUUCUUCACCUUGUCUCCUCCUUCAUCUAUACACAAGGUAAUAAGCCUCCGACGAGAACGUCGAGAUCUUCCCCCGUCACUGUUCAAGCGCGGACUCCGUAACACAUCGAGGUAAAUUUUUUGUUUGUUCCGACUUAAACUAAUGCUUUUUUGCUACAAUUUCCGGUUUGAUUUCUUAUACAUUCUCCAAGCUUUACUGGUUACAGCUUUUAUUUUUGCUUUCUGCUUGCUUUCGUUGUCCUCUGCUGCUCUUUACUUGGUUAGAUGAUUCGUGGAGUCUGGUAAAAUUCGGAUGUUUCUAACAUGUUUGUUUUCUUGUUUCCUGUCACUCGUUGUUUGUUAAUUUUGGAUUUUAUAUGAAAAUUUCUAGAUAUUUAGGUUGUGUAAUCCAUCUCGUGUGGGGAUCAUCUCUUGUCUGAUAUUCGUUACUCCUAAUUGUCUUUACAUUUGUUUUCAUAAUAUUUUGGUGUUGUAGGCUGGUUUCCACAUUUUCUUUUUACGAGUCUAGUAAUUUCUUGUUUUGCUUUCCCAGAGGUUCACUCAAUUUAUGUUCUGGAACUUUUAUGCAAGUUCAUUGAUAGUCAAUAGGUAUGUGUGUUAGGUUUGGUUUGGUAAUUAUUUCCUUUUUAUGAAUCUAGUAUUUCUUGUUUAGCUUUCCCAGAGUUUUAUUCAAUGUAUGCUUUGGAGCUUCUAUUCAAGUUCAUUGAUAAUCAGUAAGUAUGUGUUAGGUUUGGUUUGAUAAUUAUUACUACUCUUUUCAUGGUCGUUCAUCCUUUGUUAGCUUGAACCUUGAAUAUUUUUUGUGUGUCUUGAUGGAAGAGUCUUGAUAUUGCAGCUUUGGUUAAAAUCACUAAAACCAUAAUAAUAGACUCCAAAAUUAUGAUAAUGGAUUCCUAAAUAAUAUAACCGUUCUUUAAUUUAAAAGGAUUACAACUUCAAUUUACUCAAGUUAACCUAUUUUGCAUCAGUAUAGAUUGAAUUUCUAACCUAUUUAGUUUUCUAUUUGCUGUGAGUCCAGUCUCCACUAAUAAAUUCCAAAUGAUGCUAAGGGAAGACAGAACACUGCUUCUUUGAAUUCAAUUCAUUCUGAUCCGGUUUGCAGGAGUGUGGGUCAGGUGGGGUUUGGAAGAGUCCUUUUAACACUUCAACUGAGCAGGAUUGGCAAAUAAUGCAGACACCAAAAGCGAGGUAACAUUGCAUUCAUUAUGUGCUUUUCU
rnacentral:lncRNA from 1 species